GAUGAAGAACGUAGCGAAAUGCGAUACGUAGUGUGAAUUGCAGAAUUCAGUGAAUCAUCGAAUCUUUGAACGCACAUUGCACCUCUCGGUAUUCCGGGAGGUAUGCCUGUUCGAGCGUCAUUUGUACCCUCAAGCUCUGCUUGGUGUUGGGUGUUUGUUCCGCCUCUGUGUGUGAACUCGCCUCAAAACAAUUGGCAGCCGGCGUACUUGUUUCGGAGCGCAGCACAUUUUGCGAUCCAGAGCAACGUACAGCGGCAUCCAAGAAGCCUUAUUUAACGCUCUUGACCUCGGAUCAGGUAGGGAUACCCGCUGAACUUAAGCAUAUCAAUAAGCGGAGGA
rnacentral:misc_RNA from 1 species